rnacentral:rRNA from 1 species
GUGCCAGCAGCCGCGGGUAAUACGUAGGUGGCAAGCGUUGUCCGGAAUUAUUGGGCGUAAAGCGCGCGCAGGCCGUCCUUUAAGUCUGAUGUGAAAGCCCACGGCUCAACCGUGGAGGGUCAUUGGAAACUGGGGGACUUGAGUGCAGAAGAGAAGAGUGGAAUUCCACGUGUAGCGGUGAAAUGCGUAGAGAUGUGGAGGAACACCAGGUGGCGAAGGCGACUCUUUGGUCUGUAACUGACGCUGAGGCGCGAAAGCGUGGGGAGCAAACAGGAUUAGAUACCCUGGUAGUCC